rnacentral:tRNA from 1 species
UAGAAAAUAAUAUAGGGGGAGUAUGGAGGGUUUUGAUCUCUCUUGCGCAGGUUCGAUUCCUGCUUUUCUAA